rnacentral:rRNA from 1 species
GAUGAACGCUGGCGGCGUGCCUAAUACAUGCAAGUCGAGCGAAUGGAUUAAGAGCUUGCUCUUAUGAAGUUAGCGGCGGACGGGCGAGUAACACGUGGGUAACCUGCCCAUAAGACUGGGAUAACUCCGGGAAACCGGGGCUAAUACCGGAUAACAUUUUGAACCGCAUGGUUCGAAAUUGAAAGGCGGCUUCGGCUGUCACUUGUGGAUGGACCCGCGUCGCAUUAGCUAGUUGGUGAGGUAACGGCUCACCAAGGCAACGAUGCGUAGCCGACCUGAGAGGGUGAUCGGCCACACUGGGACUGAGACACGGCCCAGACUCCUACGGGAGGCAGCAGUAGGGAAUCUUCCGCAAUGGACGAAAGUCUGACGGAGCAACGCCGCGUGAGUGAUGAAGGCUUUCGGGUCGUAAAACUCUGUUGUUAGGGAAGAACAAGUGCUAGUUGAAUAAGCUGGCACCUUGACGGUACCUAACCAGAAAGCCACGGCUAACUACGUGCCAGCAGCCGCCGUAA